UUGACCGGUACUUAAUGGUACCUUCUCUUCGGAGCAGAGGUGACAGGUGGUGCAUGGUUGUCGUCAGCUCGUGUCGUGAGAUGUUGGGUUAAGUCCCGCAACGAGCGCAACCCUUAUCUUUAGUAGCCAGCAGUUCGGCUGGGCACUCUAGAGAGACUGCCGGGGAUAACCCGGAGGAAGGUGGGGAUGACGUCAAAUCAUCAUGCCCCUUAUGAUUUGGGCUACACACGUGCUACAAUGGCGUAAACAAAGAGAAGCAGCCCUGUGAAGGUGAGCAAAUCUCAAAAAUAACGUCUCAGUUCGGAUUGUAGUCUGCAACUCGACUACAUGAAGCUGGAAUCGCUAGUAAUCGCGAAUCAGAAUGUCGCGGUGAAUACGUUCCCGGGUCUUGUACACACCGCCCGUCACACCAUGGGAGUCGGAAAUGCCCGAAGCCGGUGCCUCAACCGUAAGGAGAGAGCCGUCGAAGGCAGGUUCGAUAACUGGGGUGAAGUCGUAACAAGGUAACCAAGGGC
rnacentral:rRNA from 1 species